rnacentral:rRNA from 1 species
UACGUAGGCAGCAAGCGUUGUUCGGAAUUACUGGGCGUAAAGAGUGUGUAGGCGGUGCUCCAAGUCUGGUGUGAAAUCUCCCGGCUUAACUGGGAGGGUGCAUUAGAAACUGGAAUGCUAGAGGAUGGGAGAGGUAAGCGGAAUUCCUGGUGUAGCGGUGAAAUGCGUAGAGAUCGGGAGGAACACCAGAGGCGAAAGCGGCGACCUGGACAGGUACUGACACUCAAGUACGAAAGCGUGGGGAGCAAACAGG